AACGAACGCUGGCGGCAUGCCUAACACAUGCAAGUCGAACGAGCCCUUCGGGUCUAGUGGCGCACGGUUUCGUAACGCGUGGGAACCUUCCCUUAUGUUCGGAAUAACUCCCCGAAAGGGGUGCUAAUACCGGAUAAUGUCUUCGGACCAAAGAUUUAUCGCCUUUGGAUGUGCCCGCGUUGGAUUAGCUAGUUGGUAGGGUAAAAGCCUACCAAGGCGACGAUCCAUAGCUGGUCUGAGAGGAUGAUCAGCCACACUGGGACUGAGACACGGCCCAGACUCCUACGGGAGGCAGCAGUGGGGAAUAUUGGACAAUGGGCGAAAGCCUGAUCCAGCAAUGCCGCGUGAGUGAUGAAGGCCUUAGGGUUGUAAAGCUCUUUUACCCGGGAUGAUAAUGACAGUACCGGGAGAAUAAGCUCCGGCUAACUCCGUG
rnacentral:rRNA from 1 species